GGAGAGGUUUGGGGCAGGUGUGAGUGUGUGUGGGGUGAGGUGGGGAGGAGACAGAGAGCGGAUGAGGGAGAGACCCAGGCAGACACAGAGGACAGAGGGAGACAGAGAGGGGAGACAAAGAAGGGGACAAGGUUGGACAGGGAAGGGAGAGGCAGAGAGAGACACAACACACAGAAAAGGACGUAGAGAAGAAGAGAUGUUAAAACAGAGAAAGAGACAACAGAGACACAGAGACAGACAGACAUAGAGAAACACCAAGAUGUUCAUUCACCCGUGAGCACCUGCUGUGUGCCAGGCCCUGCACCCUCUGUAGAUAGGGCUGUUACCAAGACACCAUCCCUACCCUUGGAGCUCACCGAUCCAGAGACAGGAACUGAUGCUUUGAUGCAGCCAGAGGGAGAUGUUCCCUUCCCACUUGGAGUGACGGGGGCUUGCUCUCCAGGCCGGGGUCUCUUGGAAGCUGGUGACCUCUGGAGAGGGCCAUUGCACCCUUCCACCUGUCUCCAGGCUGCAUCCAUGCUCCACUCCCAGGAGGGUGUUUGCACAAACUGACUCCUGGUUGAAUGGCAUUCAGUCUCCCUAAUAGUUUGCUCACUGGUUGCCCACCAUGGUGCCUGAAUCUCCCACCAUUAUGGCGACCUUGGACCACUUACUUCACUUAAUAACUAUAUAGCUACAAAAUGCUUUCACAUACGUUAUUCACUUGAUCCUGUAUGGUAGAUAUCGUCACUACUCUUACUUUAUAGGAGGGGAAACUGAGAUCCCAAGGGAUGAAGUGCUUUGCCUGAGGUCACAUAGUCAUUUAGUGGCAAAGUCACUAAGGUCUUCUGAUUCCCAGCCCAGUGUUCUUCCUUCUGCUUAUAUCCCCAUCUGGGUCCAGACUUGUUUGUUUACAGGAAACAGAAACCUCCGCAAAUGAACUCUAGUAAGAUGGGGGAUGUAUUGGAAGGACAAUGAAAGGACUCCUGAGACCCAAGGCCUGGACUCAGAGCUGGUUCUUACAAGAGACUCCAUCGGGGCACUGAACUGAGAUCAGAAGCCCAGAAGACGGUGCUUUUUCUUUCUCUCUUUCUGGGACCACCUAGAGGCUCCUCUCUGCUUUUCUCUGCACACUGGCUCAGCUCACAGGAUUCAAAAAUGACCUUCAAGGAAGUCCUCUUUCUUUUUUGAUUCAAAUUCUCAAGAGAGAACCUGAUUGGCUCACCUAAAUCAAGUGUACAGUCCUGGUCCAAUCAACUGUGGCCGGGGGGAGAGGCUCCUUGCAUAUAAUGUGACUGAUUACUUGUGGCCAACUCUUCAGUAAUGGCUGCCAAAACAGGGGGUGUAGACAGGACAGGCAUCCCGAGUUAUCUACAUAAACACUCUCACUUCCGCCAUAGGGAUACCGAGAUCAUGCUUGCCUGCUUUCCAGGGCUGUUGUAAGGAGCUCAUACUUAUUGAAGGAGUUUGCAAACUAUCAAGCACCACAAAAGGGCCAGUUGUUAUUUAGGUUAAAGGGGGUAUCUUCAAGACAAAACACCACCCCUCACCUCCUUUGGCAAGAUCACGCCCUGACCCAAUGGGGCAGUGUGCAAGAAAAUUGUUAUUGAUGAGGGAGCAAAGUAAGAGUCUUUGCAGAUAUAAUUAGCUGAUAAGGUCUACCGGAUGGGAGUGGGCCCAGAAUCCGAUGACUGGUGUCCUUAUAAGAAGAGAAGAAGAGACACAGAGGGGAGAAGGCCACGUGAAGAUGGAGGUGGAGGUUGGGGCGACACCGCCAGAAGCCAAGGAAUGCCUGGAGCCACCAGCAGCUGGAAGAGCUAAAGCAAGCAAAUGGACAUAUCCAAAUUCAAGAAAGUGGAGAAGAGUGAUCCUACUAUGUGCUUGGAAAGAGAACCCAAAAUUCUUGGUAAGUGGCCUUAGAGAUUACCAUAAUUUCAUAGAUGUCAUUUUCUCCAGGGGCUCUUAAUUUUUUUCACAAAGCAGCUAUUGUUAAAACUGAGCAGGGAGAGCGAAUGGGAAGCUCAGCCCUCACAAUCAACCAGCUGCGCAACCUCGGGCAAGUUACUGAAGCUCGUUGACCUCGGUUUCCUCAUCUACGAAGUGGGGAAAAUAG
ensembl:lncRNA